AGAUUGAACGCUGGCGGCAUGCCCUACACAUGCAAGUCGAGCGGCAGCGCGGGGGCAACCCUGGCGGCGAGCGGCGAACGGGUGAGUAAUGCAUCGGAACGUGUCCUCUUGUGGGGGAUAACCAGUCGAAAGACUGGCUAAUACCGCAUGAGAUCGAGAGAUGAAAGCAGGGGAUCCGCAAGGACCUUGCGCGAGAGGAGCGGCCGAUGCCCGAUUAGCUAGUUGGUGGGGUAAAAGCCUACCAAGGCGACGAUCGGUAGCUGGUCUGAGAGGACGACCAGCCACACUGGGACUGAGACACGGCCCACGACUCCUACGGGAGGCAGCAGUGGGGAUUUGGACAAGUGGGGGCAACCCUGACUCAGCCAUGCCGCGUGUGUAGAAGGACGCCGUUCGGUUAGUAAAGCACGUUUCGGACGG
rnacentral:rRNA from 1 species